AUGUUGGCACUGCCUCAAACUCUUCUAACUCAAACAACCAGUUACAGUGUCCUGCCAGCUAUCAAGAAGGGCACUAAAGUUACCCUCCAGUCCUCCAGCUCCCUCUCCCUCUCCGAUGACAACAAGGAGGCACUAGGGGCCGUCUGCCAGGUCCUGACCACCAGGGUGGGAGACAUCCUGAACAGUACCUGCAACGACGAUUACAAGGCCAGGCUCAUCAUCCAGAAAGGUACACUUAUAACCUGUUUUGCCCAUAUCACCAGUAAUAACCAUGUAAUAACUUGUGUAAUAACCAGUGUAUUAUCAUUAUAGUAAAUGUACUAGAUACUGCAUAGUGUUAUACAUGGAUGUGGCUUUGAAAAAGUUCAGAAUAUGAGUGUGUUUUCUUAGGAUUGGAUUCCGGUGCCAGAGAAAGGUUCCCUGGCUCUCCGUGUUCCUCUUCACCCAAGGACGAAGAGGA
rnacentral:lncRNA from 13 species